AUUGAACGCUGGCGGCAUGCCUUACACAUGCAAGUCGAACGGCAGCACGGGAGCAAUCCUGGUGGCGAGUGGCGAACGGGUGAGUAAUAUAUCGGAACGUGCCCAGUAGUGGGGGAUAACUGCUCGAAAGAGCAGCUAAUACCGCAUACGACCUGAGGGUGAAAGGGGGGGAUCGCAAGACCUCUCGCUAUUGGAGCGGCCGAUAUCAGAUUAGCUAGUUGGUGGGGUAAAGGCCUACCAAGGCAACGAUCUGUAGUUGGUCUGAGAGGACGACCAGCCACACUGGGACUGCGAAACGGCCCAGUCUCUUACGGGAGGCAGCAGUGGGGAAUUUUGGACAAUGGGCGCAAGCCUGAGCCAGCAAUGCCUCGUGCAGGAGGAAGGCCUUCGGGUUGUAAACUGCUUUUGUCAGGGAAGAAAUCCUCUAGGUUAAUACCCUUGGGGGGAUGACGGUACCUGAAGAAUAAGCACCGGCUAACUACGUGCCAGCCGCCGCAGUAACAC
rnacentral:rRNA from 1 species